rnacentral:tRNA from 1 species
GGGCGUGUAGCUCAGUUGGUAGAGCGCUUCCCUUACACGGAAGAUGUCGCGGGUCCGAGUCCUGCCGCGCCCA